GGGAAAACAGGGAGGAGGGGAGAAGGGGCCGGUCGCCGGCGAGCAGGGAAGCCCGCUUGCGUGCCAGAGCGCCGGCCUGUCCCACUGCCUUACUAAGUCCUUACCUACUUCGGCUGGGUUACCUCCCUCUGCCCUCCGCCGAGCGCCACAGGGGCCAGGCGGGGCAGCUGGAGAGCGGGCUGGCGUCACGGGGCCCACGCACCUGUGCGCUGGCAAAGGGGGCCCUGGGCUGCAUGUGCCAGAGGCCUAAAUGCCAGCAGCUGGGGACACCUAGGCGCGUUUAUUCUUCCCCAGUGAAUUUAAUCCUGUGUGCACGUGCUUUUGUGCGUAAUUCGCCAGCAAACUUCAAGCUGGGCUUAGCCAGUGAGGAGGUGGAGACCUGCAUCUGGAGAGACCCGAAGCCUGAGCCAGCGAAACAUCCAUGCAAAAUGUAAUAUCUUUGGAUAUUUGUCCAGCAUGUCUGAUGUCCUGCAGCCAAGGUGGAACUGUAACAUAAUUGCAAGGAGGCAGCAGGGCAUAUGGAAAUCCUGGACAUGCACUACACCAUGAGCUGUAUGGUAUGUGUACCAUCAUUGCAGCACACGUGUCAAACUCCACACCUGGGAGAGAUCAAACUUACUGCAUCUGCACUACGCUGAUAACAUGUACCUCGGACACAUCAGGCUCGCUGCAUAUGCUGUGCACAUUGAAUGCACCCAUAUCAGUCUGGGAAACCACCUGGCAAACAUAUGAGGAACAAUACAAGUGCUGAUACAAAGCAUAAGCCUGAACGUGUUCACUUCUUCUGUUUCCUCAGCUUGAGUUCAUUUUUAGGUCAGUUUUGAAAAAUAAUACAACUACUUGUAGAAUGCAGUAGAUUCUUCUGCGACUGUCUUUAGGCCUGUGGCUGGAUGCUGGAAGGUGAAAUGCUACAACUGUUUAGCCAACGCAGCAGCAGCAGCUUCUGUGGCCCUGCUGUUGCGUUAGCACAAAGUAGAGUUGCAACACAGGGCUUAGCAACUUAAGUUAAGCGUAAAAGUAUCU
rnacentral:lncRNA from 1 species